GGGCGGAUAGCUCAGUUGGCAGAGCGUCGGCCUUACAAGCCGAAGGUCACAGGUUCAAUCCCUGUUCCGCCUACCA
rnacentral:tRNA from 1 species